ensembl:lncRNA
CAUGGAUUGAAAAAUGAAGAAAUGAUGUUCUUUAGUGACAAUGAUCAUUUAAAAAUAGUAAAAUCAUAGCUUUAAAACAUAUCAUUUGUUUACUCAUAUAUUCAUUCAAAUAUUAUGUUUUAAGCCUCUGCUGUAUUUUAACGCUUUUUUCAGAGCCUGGGAAGAUGAUUGUAAGUUAGACUUAGACCCUGCUCUCAAGUAGUGGAUAAGAAACAUGAACAAGUGUGUAUAAAUCAGCCAUCAAUAAGGCAACAGGUGUGAAGCUUCCAGAGAGUUGCAGUUUAAAAGCCAAGGUGGUCAAAGUUGGAGGACAUCAUUCUUAAGUCCUUUAAGGGGGAAGAAGAUGAGGAGACAAGAGGGAAGCACUGGAUUGAGGAAGGCUUCCUGACGGUGGCCUUUCAUUUCAUUUUUGAGGUUUGAGUGGGAUUCAGUCAUGAAGAUGUGGAUGCAGGAGGAUGUCCCGGGUGGCUGAAACCCUACAGGAGCAAAGGCCACAGCACAAGGUGUCUGCGGGGCAUCUGGAGGACCAGGAUAUCAGCUACGUACGGCUACUAAGGAAACUCCAAUCAAAUUCACUCCAGCUAUUUCAAUGGAAAGCAGCAAACCAAAGCAUGGGGGUUCUCAAACCCAGAUCCAUGGACCAAACACAUCAGAACCAUGUAGGAGAGCAUCUGAAAAAUAUGAUUGCCUGGACCCCUGGAAUCAGAAACCUUACUGCUUGGCCCUGAGAAUCUCUAUCUAUUAAAUGGCCACAUCAGAUUCUGACUUUCAAUAAAUCUGAAACUUCCUCUUGCAAUGGGCUAAACACGGACUGUGGAACCAGUUUGGCCCAGGAGAUAAUCCAGACUUUGCUAUUUUUUCACAUGAUGAUGCUGAGCAAGAUAUUCGUCCCCUCUGAAGGGGGCAAUACUUUAUAGUGCUUCUGAUACUACAACAACAAAAAAAGAUAUUCUAGUAUGUGUGAUGUAGGUAAUUGACAUGCAAUCAAGGGUAGCAGCUGUAACAAUAAUUCAGUCAGGUCAAUAUCCUGUCGAUCAGGGUUAAUCAGAUUGUUACUUCCCGAAAUCAUCUGAAUUGCCCGACCUACUUUGGCAAGAAUACUUGCCUGCAGGAUUUUCAUUCAGGAAUGUUAUUUUAGAGCUGCAACUGUAGGUGAUGAGGAUGUGGGAGUGCAUACCCUCGUACACAUUUCUAGCAAUAAAUCAAAUAAGCUAAUAUAAAUAAAAUACGAAAAGUGCAAUAUAUAGCAUUUUUGAUGGGAAUAGUCCUGUGAAGGAAAAUAAAGCGAGGUAGGCAGAUAGGAAAUGCCAGGGUGGGAGAUUGAAGGGUGUAUUUCCAACAGGGCGGUCACGGAGACUUCUCAGAGUAGCAACAUUUAAGCAAAGACCAGAGAGGGGAAAGGGCACCAGCUAGACAUACAUGGAAACAGCACAUCAUGCAAUGGCAGGUAGGGCAGGAAAGGCUGAGGGGCAGGUCAGGGAGCUGCUUCUUUGGCAGUAAGACCCAGAUGGGCAGAGUCCAGGAAACAUGUGCCCUAGAAGACAUGUGCAUUUGCGAACCCAUCUGCCUAAGUCCCCAACGUCCUCAAAUGAGCUUACUGGGAAGAGGCUGUUGAGGAUUAUCCUCUUUCUCUUGAAGCAGAAAUUACAGUUCUGCCUCUAGUUGUGUGGCUUUGUGCACACCACUUAACUGUUCCUGAGCUUCCAUUUCCUCAUCUUUCAAACAAAUAAAUGACACCUGUUAAAUGCCGCGGGCUGUGACCCCUAACAGGUGCUCAUUUAAUGUGGGGUCAGGGAGAUUCCUAACUGCAGGCUGAAGUCAAAGCUGGGAAUAACUUUAGAAGGACUGGGGAAUUAGGAAAGUGACUAAGCCAGGACCUCAGCUCAGCCAGAAUGCAGGAGCCCAGUUUGCAGAAUCAGCAGCAGCUCCACAGGCAUGGCUGUUUAUCAGGACAGGGAAGGGCCAGCAGCAAGAGCAUUUAUGUCAAAAGGCCCAGAGAAUGUUUGGAUGCUCCAAGAAGAGAAAGUCCACAUGAGAUAAAGAGCAAACGAAACAAUAUAAAAUCAUUAAGUAGAUAUUUUUAUAGUAAUAAUAACAACCAUUAAUUAGCAAACGCUUAUUAUGAUGUGGAAAUAACAAGGUGCUUUGGUAUUAGAUAUGGUCCUAAUCUUUGUGAAUUAAGCACUUUACAAAGCAGGAAGCAUGGCUCAGAGAUGCAAAGAGGAGCCUGAGGUUGCACAGGUAAGAAAACUAGCCCCGGCUUUCUGCUUCCAUCUGUCCCCUCCAGAGCCACCCCACUCCCAGGCCCCUGAGUAUCACCAUGUACCCCUGAGCCCAGACCGUAUUUACAAAAUGAAUAUUUCUAAAUGCCGGAGGACAGCAAAAUAUGAAUACACGUGCCUGAGAAAAAACUAACAAAAGACCAAAGCAACUUUUUCUUCUGUGACAGAGCAGGCACGAUUUAAUGCUGAUGUGUUUGUUCAUCCAAGCAUCAGUUUGGGCCAAGGCUCUGUUGUCAUUCACAUUCACGCCCCCAUUCAGCCCAGACCCUUCAGACGCUCAUGAAUGUAGCCAGGCAACCCAGACCCCUUAAGGUGCGUGCCCAUGCGUCAUCCUGCAGUAGGGCCUGGUGAUCAAGAGCACUGGAACUUUCAACUUCAUGCCUGGAAUUAAGUCUGGAUGGGCCACUCUGGAACCUUGAGCAAGCUGUUCAACUCUCUGUGCCUCCCUUUUCUCAUCUGUCAAAGGGGGAUAUGAAUAUUAGAGUAUCAGCCCAUAAGGAGGUUCUGACGGUGAUGUGAGAUUAGCUAUGGAUCAGGCUCAACACAGGCCUGGCAUGUUGUAAAAAGUCACAAACUCUUUACUACUCCCUAAUUCAUUUACUACUCCGUUCAUCGUGUAUUUAAACAAAUACAUCAAUAAUUCUAAUUAUUAUUCAGGUUCAGGAAAACUCAGACUUGUUCAUCUCACUACACAUAAAACACAUCUUUAAGAUUUUCAGCACUCACUCUACCAUCCCCCAAACCCACACAUGCAUGCACACACACACACUCUCACAUACACGCAGCACACAUAUACACACAAGCCACACAUGCAUACCUACAUAUACCACAUACAUACAUGGACGCAUACAUACACCACCACAAAUUCACACAUACAGCACUUAUACAAAAACCCUAUACAUGUAAAUGUACACUCAUUCAAACACACGCCAUACAAAACGCCCACAUAUGCAUAGAUACAUACGCACGCACACCACACACACCCAUCUCAUUCAUUCCCUGCUGACCACAGGGACAUGCUGGGUCAUGCUCUUUCUCCAUUCCGUGUCUCACCUGCUCUUUAUGGCAAGGGUGACUCUCUCCAGUUAGGAAGUUAAAUGCCCCUUCACACUUCUCUGCGGACCUGUGUUUCUUUACCAGGCCACUGCAGUGUUUCCUAAACUCUUAGAAUUCCAUGCUACUCUAGAUUCUUCCAUAGUCUUUUUGGGCUGCUAAAGCAGAAUACUGUAGACUGGGUGACUUACAAACAACCAAAGCUUGUUUCUCACAGUUCUGGAGGCUGGAAAAUCCAAGAUCAAGCUGCCGUGAGAUCCAGUGUCUGCUGAGGGUUUCCUUCUUGGUUUAUAGUCAGCUGUCUUCCCUCUGUGUCCUCAGAUGGCACAAGGGGAAAAGGAGCUCUCUGAUGUCUCUUUUGUGAAGACAAUAAUCUAAUUACCCACCUAAUCACCUACCAAAAGUCCCCUUCCUAAAAUCAUCACAUUGAAAAUUAAGAUUUCGACAUAUGAAUUUUGGGGCAACACAAACAUUCUGUCUUUAGCAACUCUGAACUCCUUGAGACUCUGUUUUAUUAAAAUGUGCUCUUCAAGGCUGAGGACAGCACUUUGAAUAUGGCCUUAUCUUGUAAAAUAUCUAUUGCAUAGAAUAAUCACUUUGAGAAUUGGGCAUAAUUCAGAAUAUGCUUGUUUCAAUUGAACCAAGGACCUAAUACAACUUUGUCAUCCCAAAGAAUAGAGUUGUGGAAUGGAAAGGACCUGGAUUAAUAGUCACUGCACUCACGAUUACCUCCGCCACCAUCAUCAGCUUUGUCACCUGCACGUCAUCACCACUGUCUUCAGGUGGUUCCUGCACAUUAGGACCACCAUCGUUGCCAUUGUUAUUAUCGUCACUCUGUCGGCACUACCAUUGUCAUCUUCACAUUACUGCCACCCUCACAGUCUUUAGGUUCCUAGGAUCUUCUAGCACUUCUCAAAUGUUUGAAGAGCAUUUCAAAGUUCCAUCUGGACCAAGCCUUCCAAAGCCAUUUAGGUUUUAUUUAUUCAGGGUGAAUCAUUAAUUGUGUUCCUUCCACUUCAGCUCUGUGGUGAAUUCGAUCAUCUCUCUCCACUGAUUCAAUCUGAUAGCCUAAAGGAUGCUGCAGGCUGGCUUUGAGUUUUAUGUUUUAGGUAUUUCUCCUGCACAGGACUUUCAGGGAGCUCUAACCACUAAGUCUACAAGUGCUGGAUAUCCUUCCAGAAUCCACCACCCUUCCUGGGAUCCUUCACCGUUUAAGGUUUAAUGAUAGACUAAAUUCUGGCCAGACAGAGCAGGACAAGCACUGCCAGACUGGAGCUCAAGCCUCUUGUGUGUGCUUCAGUCCUAUGUGAUGAGCAGCUGUCUUCUUAAAUAGCCUUAAAGAUACCUUUAAAAAAUCAUUUUUUUUUGUCUUGAAGAAC